UGAUGUCAACACACCCGAUCCUGUUGUAAUUUUCAUGACAGAGGGCUCCGGGACACAUAUGGGAAAUACAAUGAGACUAGGAUCUCGAAGAACAUUCUUUCAGACUCCCGACUGUAUUUCUUCUGAGCGAUACCAUAAUUCAGAGUAUGUGGACGAGCGUCAUUGGCAUAUAUAU